AUGCCAUUUCCUCGAAAAAUCUGAUAGAUUACAGCGGGGGUGGUGGUUUGGAUCAGUCAAACGAAACUUGUUGCAGUAGACAUAAGGUGUUUGCUUUUGCUAGCUGGACACUUGCCAAGGUGUUCUACAACAGUCAGAUUCAAUAUUGCAGUAGACAUGGUGUUUUAAUUAUGUGACACAGACUUCAGAUAAUCUUCCCGGUUAUUGUUUGCCUUCUGCUCCGACUGAAAGUAUUGGCUAUGUGCUGCAAGUACGAUCUGCUACACUCGACACAUGGCUUCCAGAACAGGUUGCAUUUAUUCAAACAAUGGGAAAUGAGAAGUCAAAUAGCUACUGGGAAGCAGAACUGCCUCCAAAUUACGACAGAAAUCUUUUGGUGGGCUCUAGUUGAUGAAUAGCCUGGAUCCAUCACACGUGUUGUGAAUCACCUUAGCACCCAUCUUCUACGUAACAUUUGUUUGUUUCUUCUAAUUCAAAAGCAGAGCCGGUCCCGGUGCAGGCUGAUUCAACACAGAGAGUGCGACCUACACCCAAUAUCCCACCUCCAAAGGUUGUUGAAAUCAUUAACCGGUAUGAGACAGUGUAUUCCAGAGAGCUCAAGAGGCAAUAAGCUUGCAUUUAUACGGGACCUGAAAAUGGACAAAACCUGCACCAGGACAGUAAUGAUGAGGUGUUAAGAAGCCUCAAAUCAUGAAAAAUUCUGUCACGAUCUUGUCGAGUGCAGGUCUUGGGAUGGCCAUGUUUAGUCUCGGUAAGAUCAUUGAUAUGCUCAUCAUGUUCAGUCUCGGUAAGAUCAUUGAUAUGCUCAUUCGACGCGAGGGGUGUCAUCAAGAAAUAUGACAGUCCCGAACAAAUUCUUGAAGAAUUCUUUCAUUUAAGACUUGACUUCUAUGUAAAGAGAAAGAAAGUAAUGUUGGAUAAUCUUGAGAAGGAAGAAGCCUAGGCGGAGGAGGUGACAGGACAGAUGGAGGGUAGGGCAGGAAAGCCUCUUGCUAAGCUUCUAGACAAGUUGGAAAGAACUAAAGAAAGAACAACACCAAGAAAGCCAAUGAAGCAGAUACUGUUGUUGAAUCUGUAGCAUUAGUUAGUACUACAGCUGAAACUGGACAUGUUUCCGAGGGGGCAAAACCCAAAGGCAGGGGAGCUCCGAAGAAGGUUCCUGCUAGAAAGAAAAUGUCGACUGCCAUUGAUAGUGAAGAGGAAGAUGAUGAGGUGCUCGAGCUGAAAGAAUGAAUGAUGAGGUGCUCGAGCUGAAAGAAUGAAUGAUUGUGUUGAGAUCAGGGUUGAAGUUGGAAAUGAAUGAUUGUGUUUGAUUAAAUGAAUGAAUGAUUGUGUUUGAUUGAAUGAAUAAAUGAUUGUGUUUGAUUGAAUGAAUGAAUGAUUUAGCCAUGAAGUAUUUAUCUAUAUCAGCUUAUAUGAGU